rnacentral:lncRNA from 1 species
AGGGGGAAGGGCCGUGGGGCAGCCCCAGGGAGUCAGAAUGGGGGACUGGGGGCAGCGCUAUGGGUCUGGGCUGCUCUAUGGGUCACUCUAUGGGUCUGGGCCACGCUAUGGGUCGCGCUAUGGGUCCGGGCCACUUGUGGGUCACGCUAUGGGUCCGGGCCACUUGUGGGUCACGCUAUGGGGCUGGAUGCACCUUGAGCUGGUGUGGCAAGGACUGCACCACCCAAUGGGGCUGUUCUAUGGGGCAGGGAAGCCACGCUAUGGGUCAGGGCCCUGCUAUGGGUCACGCUAUGGGUCUGGGCCACUUGUGGGUCACACUAUGGGGCUGGGUCACUUGUGGGUCACACUAUGGGUCGUGCUAUGGGGCUGGAUGCACCAUGUGCUGGUGGGGCAAGGACUGCACCACCCAAUGGGGCUGUUCUAUGGGGCAGGGAAGCCACGCUAUGGGUCAGGGCCCUGCUAUGGGUCACGCUAUGGGGCUGGGCCACUUGUGGGUCCCGCUAUGGGGCUGGGUCACUUGUGGGUCGCGCUAGGGGGCUGGACGUUCCACACACGGACGGCUCAUCCUUCACACCACCCAAUGGGGCCGUUCUAUGGGGCGGGGAAGCCACGCUAUGGGUCAGGGCUGACGCUAUGGGUCGCGCUAUGGGUCCGGGCCACUUGUGGGUCGCGCUGUGGGGCUGACCGAGGGUCUGGAAGUUGA